GUCCACGCCGUAAACGAUGAUUACUCGUUUUUGGGUUUAAUUACUCAGAGGCUAAGCGAAAGUGAUAAGUAAUCCACCUGGGGAGUACGUCCGCAAGGAUGAAACUCAAAGGAAUUGACGGGGCCCGCACAAGCGGAGGAUCAUGUGGUUUAAUUCGAUGAUACGCGAGGAACCUUACCAGGGCUUAAAUGGGAAUUGACCGUUUUGGAAACAGAACUUUCGCAAGACAAUUUUUCAAGGUGCUGCAUGGUUGUCGU
rnacentral:rRNA from 1 species